GGCGAGUGAAGCGGCAAAAGCUCAAAUUUGAAAUCUAGCACCUUCGGUGUUUGAGUUGUAAUUUGAAGAUGGUAACCUUGGGUUUGGCUCUUGUCUAUGUUCCUUGGAACAGGACGUCAUAGAGGGUGAGAAUCCCGUCUGAUGAGAUGCCCAUUCCUAUGUAAGGUGCUAUCGAAGAGUCGAGUUGUUUGGGAAUGCAGCUCUAAGUGGGUGGUAAAUUCCAUCUAAAGCUAAAUAUUGGCGAGAGACCGAUAGCGAACAAGUACAGUGAUGGAAAGAUGAAAAGAACUUUGAAAAGAGAGUGAAAAAGUACGUGAAAUUGUUGAAAGGGAAGGGCAUUAGAUCAGACUUGGUGUUUUACGAUUAUCUUCUCUUCUUGAGUUGUGCACUCGUAUUUCACUGGGCCAGCAUCGAUUCGGAUGGCAAGAUAAUGGCAGUUGAAUGUGGCUUCACUUCGGUGGAGUGUUAUAGCUUCUGCUGAUAUUGCCUGUCUGGAUCGAGGGCUGCGUCUUUUGACUAGGAUGCUGGCGUAA
rnacentral:rRNA from 1 species